rnacentral:rRNA from 1 species
GGUAAGUUCCGACCCGCAUGAAAGGCGUAAUGAUUUGGGCGCUGUCUCAACAAUAGACUCGGUGAAAUUUAAAUUCCAGUGAAGAUGCUGGGUACCCGCGACAGGACGGAAAGACCCCGUGGAGCUUUACUGUAGCUUGAUAUUGAAUGUUUGUGCUGCAUGUGCAGGAUAGGUAGGAGACUUUGAAGUCGGAACGCUAGUUUCGAUUGAGUCACCCUUGAGAUACUACCUCUGUUGUAUGAACGUUCUAACUCUGAUCAGUUAUCCUGAUCGAAGACAGUGUCUGGCAGGCAGUUUGACUGGGGCGGUCGCCUCCUAAAAGAUAACGGAGGCGCUCAAAGGUUUGCUCAGAAUGGUUGGAAAUCAUUCGUAGCGUGUAAAGGCAUAAGCAAGCUUGACUGUGAGACUGACAAGUCGAGCAGGUACGAAAGUAGGACUUAGUGAUCCGGUGGUUCCGUAUGGAAGGGCCAUCGCUCAACGGACAAAAGCUACCCCGGGGAUAACAGGCUCAUCUCCCCCAAGAGUCCACAUCGACGGGGAGGUUUGGCACCUCGAUGUCGGCUCAUCGCAUCCUGGGGCUGUAGUCGGUCCCAAGGGUUGGGCUGUUCGCCCAUUAAAGCGGUACGCGAGCUGGGUUCAGAACGUCGUGAGACAGUUCGGUCCCUAUCCGUCGUGGGCGCAGGAAAUUUGAGAGGAUCUGUCCUUAGUACGAGAGGACCGGGAUGGACAUACCUCUGGUGUACCAGUUGUUCUGCCAAGAGCACCGCUGGGUAGCUACGUAUGGAUUAGAUAAUCGCUGAAAGCAUCUAAGUGAGAAACUAACCUCGAGAUGAGAUUUCCCAUUCGUCAGAAGUAAGACCCCUGAGAGACGAUCAGGUAGAUAGGCUAGAAGUGGAAGUGUAGUGAUGCAUGGAGCGGACUAGUACUAAUAGGUCGAGGACUUAACCAAG